UUUCUUCUGCCCCCCCCCCCCCCCCCCCCCCCUUUUCAGAGAUCAACCCAAAAAUUCCCAAUGACCUAAGGAAAAAGCCUCUGUUACUGUUCUGGUUUUAUGUGCAGGAGCUGCACAUAACAAAAGGUCUGUGGUAUCUCUAUCUCAUCCCCAUGACACAGAUUGGAUGAUCUUGCCUCUGUGCCUCUGCAUUCUGCAGAGCUUUGAGUCUCAAUUUUCAGUUUCAAAUUGUAGCCAGUGCAGGCUGUCAUUGCACAAAACCAUAUGGGUUUCUCUGUAAUUGCCUUAGAGUAAGAAUAGAUUAUAGAUAAUAGAGGUGUAUUUUAUGUAAUGAGGUUGUCACUAUGGUCACUGUGACCAGGCAGAGAUGGCUCAGUCUGACCUGUUGAGUUCACUCCAGUUCUACUCUUCAUCUGUAACUUAUUUCACCUGUGUAAGGUAAAGGCACUCCCUGUGCCUUCUCUCCUACAGUAAUUCUAAUUACUUCCAUGGGAAAAAAAGUCUUCCUUGCUCAAAAGCACUGACAUAUCCGGAUUUGUCUGUGAAAUACAGCCUUAAAUUAGUUUCGCCCUGGGUAUAAGAUUCAUCAGAUGGGGCAUCUGUGUUUGGUGGCAGACUUGUUCUUUGUUUGUCAUGCUGUUAAUGCUUUCUUGAAGUCAAAAUUUUAUCGCUUAUAAGACCUCCCUAAAACUGUGUUUUAUCAGUGUUUGAUAAAGCUCCUGAGGAGAGUUAGAUAAGCAAUGACCAAGUCAAUAUGAUGGUUUAUUGUCCCCAAUAAACCAUCAUAUAAUAAACCCCUCCCAAGUUGAGUCGUUGGUCUACUAACCUCCUGAUAGCUAUGGUAUGCACUGGUCUUAUUUGUGAGGUAAUUGAAGUCACUGUCACAGGAUGAGGGGAAAACCCUUCAAAAAUAAACAGUGAAAAUCUUCCCUCCAAAAGGUGAAUAGCUUUCUGCUGGGUUAGAGUUGAAUCAGUACAGCAAAGGAUCCAGGGCUCCUUGCUCACAGCAAUCAGCAGGAAUUACAUGGGGAAAAGGCAGAUUUUCCUUGGGUGUCAACAUGUAAGAUGAUGGGCUCACCACAUGUUGAAUGCUUGUAAACAGAAUUUUGGCAAAUAAUGACAAAUAAACCUUUUACUUAAAGACUCAGUCCUGGCCACUUUGGCUUAUCACUGUCUGUACAAGCAGAAGUGGUGUGUGAGUGCAUAGUGAAGUGCUGUGGGAAACGAACUGGCUGAAGAGAAUCCAGGGAACAAAAGUCACAGGGGUGGUUGUUAUUCAGUCGAGUCAGUUCCCCAGUCUGGAAGCUAACCAUGACUUGGAUGGUAAUCAGCCAUCCACUUCACAGGGGAAAACAAAGAUUACAUACCUGGAGUGGUUCACAGAAAGCUGAUUUUAGGGUGAACAAAAUUAAAGAAAAAAGAUCCUUGUGCACAAGAGCUGCCCAUCUAUUUCAGUGACAUCUGCCUAACAAAAAAAUGAUAUAUCCUUACAAACCCUGCUGGACUUUCAUUGGUAUGUCAUCAUCCCUACCCCUGAUGAAACUAUUAACACAGUAUACUGGGAGUAAUUUUAAAAAUUCUGAGCCUAAACAUAACGGAGGACUGCUUAUUCCUUUUCUUGUUUUGGAAAGGUGUGAUACUAUGAGCAUUUGCAUGGUCCUGUGUAGGCUCUGAAAUUAACUCCUUACUGAGACAGUCGUUGCUGUUCUCCAGGUGGCUUUGCAAGAGCAGUGUCCUGCUUAUGUGCCUUUAGAAAGUGAAGAGCUGUACUCAAAGACUUAUUUUUCAGAGCAUUAAUUAAUAUAUGAUCAUUAUCUCACUAUAAAAUUUGACCAUUUUGUUUUACUGCAGAGUACUUGCACCGGCUUAGCACUAUAUUCUUCUGUGCAUGAUUGAACACAUCCUGUUUACUUCGCAGUGAAAUUGUUUCUGGCUGUUUCUGGGAGGCAGGUAUUUAGAAGUGUAGAAUAUUACAGCAUCAGGGAAUCAAGAAGGUGGAAGAUUUUGGAGUAGUCACUGGCAGAAAGAUGUGAAUGAACUGCUGAGAGUUCACAGACAUCACCCCAUAGCACAUCAUGCAUGUACUGGAAGACAUAAGCUGGUAUUGAAUAGAUGGUGACCUCUUGGGGACUCCUCCAACCCUGUGGUUCACUGAAAGAAGAAGAGGAUGAAGAAGACCAAAAAAAUUUAAGUGACCUUCUCAGAGGUGCCUUAUCUGAAAGAAAUACCAUUUUUCAGAAAUAUCUCAUAAAUGAACAGCUUUUCUGACUGAGUGCUUGGUACCUAUAAGCAUUUUUAAUCUUCAAAGGGUAACGGAUUUUAUGAACCCGAAGUAAUUGAAUAUCUACACAUCCCAUAGCAAAACACUAUUGUUUCUACUGUUAGGAACUGGGAAAAAAUAGAAGUUAAAUUAAUUUCAUGUCCUGGAAGUUGAUUUUACAAUGUGUAGAUCAGAUGGGAAAUUGAAUUGCCACAAAAAGUAGAAAUUCUGAUAGCAAUAUAGCUGUAUCAUGUUGAAAUAAAAUAAGAAAAUCCAUUAUA